AGGCUGCAGUGGGGAAUCUUGCGCAAUGGGCGAAAGCCUGACGCAGCGACGCCGCGUGAGUGAUGAAGGCCCUAGGGUUGUAAAGCUCUGUGGAGAGGGACGAAUAAGCAAUGGUUAACACCCAUUGUGAUGACGGUACCUUUUUAGCAAGCACCGGCUAACUCUGUGCCAGCAGCCGCGGUAAGACAGAGGGUGCAAACGUUGUUCGGAAUUACUGGGCGUAAAGCGCGUGUAGGCUGUUGUGCAAGUCGGGUGUGAAAGCCCAGGGCUCAACCUUGGAAGUGCACUCGAAACUGCGCAACUGGAGUCUCGGAGAGGGAGGCGGAAUUCUGGGUGUAGAGGUGAAAUUCGUAGAUAUCCAGAGGAACACCGGUGGCGAAGGCGGCCUCCUGGACGAGUACUGACGCUGAGACGCGAAAGCGUGGGGAGCAAACAGGAUUAGAUACCCUUGUAGUC
rnacentral:rRNA from 1 species